CCUACGGGGGGCAGCAGUGAGGAAUAUUGGUCAAUGGACGCAAGUCUGAACCAGCCAUGCCGCGUGCAGGAAGACGGCUCUAUGAGUUGUAAACUGCUUUUGUACGAGGGUAAACGCAGAUACGCGUAUCUGUCUGAAAGUAUCGUACGAAUAAGGAUCGGCUAACUCCGUGCCAGCAGCCGCGGUAAUACGGAGGAUUCAAGCGUUAUCCGGAUUUAUUGGGUUUAAAGGGUGCGUAGGCGGUCGGUUAAGUUAGAGGUGAAAUCCCGAGGCUCAACUUCGGAAUUGCCUUUGAUACUGGUCGUCUAGAGAGUAGUAGCGGUAGGCGGAAGGUGUGGUGUAGCGGUGAAAUGCUUAGAGAUCAUGCAGAACACCGAUUGCGAAGACAGCUUACCGGGCUACUUCUGACGUUGAGGCACGAAAGCGUGGGGAGCAAACAGGAUUAGAUACCCUAGUAGUC
rnacentral:rRNA from 1 species